rnacentral:rRNA from 1 species
GACGAACCGUGCGAACGUUGUUCGGAAUCACUGGGCUUAAAGGGCGCGUAGGCGGGUCUUCAAGUUUGGGGUGAAAUCCUCCGGCUCAACCGGAGAACUGCCUCGAAUACUGAAGGUCUCGAGGGGGAUAGGGGCAUGCGGAACUACGGGUGGAGCGGUGAAAUGCGUUGAUAUCCGUAGGAACUCCGGUGGCGAAGGCGGCGUGCUGGAUCGCUUCUGACGCUGAGGCGCGAAAGCCAGGGGAGCAAACGGG